AUACUUACCUGGACGGGGGUCUAUGCGCGAUCAAGAAGGCCCAUGGCCUAGCUUGGUCACUUCUAUUGCACUUAGGGAGGGUGCUGAGCUAAGGUCUACCCAUGUGGUGGAAUCUACGUCAUAAUUUGUUAUAGCUGGGGCCUGCGUUCGCGCGGCCCCUAU